GCUAUGCUGAGCUCAAGCACGACCGUGGUUGACUCGCCAGCGCGCCGCACUUUAAACCGCCUGCACUAGGCAUGCUGCGAGGUCACCGGAGUGUAAAAAUGAACACAUGCGGCGGAGCCCGUACUGGCCAUUAUACCGGCCCCACGUGUGUCCAACACACCGCGCCUCACAGCGCUCACCCGCUAGACGUUCCCGCAACAGCGCCCUGAACACACCAACGGUAAGUGCACUUUCUUAUAGCGAUAUAAAUGCUGCUACAUACUUAAAUUUGGUAAGACGCGACCCGUGCAUUACCACACACCCUCCCCCUUAAGAUUACAGGUCGCAAGGUCGGGACAAAUAAUCCGCCACGAGAUUUUUCUUUCCCAACACAUAGCGUACCUGAAAUUUAUAAGGCUGGAGCGACAAAUACCAACGGGCCACGCAUGCGUUUGAAUGUCUCAUUCGUUGCAUCCAUUGCAAAGCCCUAUGGUCACUCAACUACAAACUCUGUUGACAAAAGGUAAUAUUUUAAACUAUCUAUUGCCCAUUUAAUAGCUAGUCUCUCCUUUUUCAACACUGCUUCUUUUCUCUAUCAAACAGCUUUCGACUGAUAAACAAAAUAGGUCUCCUUUCUUCUCCUUCCCCCUGCAUUAAAGCGGCGCCCAAACCUUCCCCUGAGGCGUCGACCUGUAAAAUAAAAGGUUUGGAAAAGUCAGGGCAGUGCAGUAAUAAAUUUUCACAGAAAACGUUUUUCAAUGUAUUAAAAGCAUGUUGACAUGUCUCUGUCCAUUUGAUGUUUCUAGGGGAUUGGUUUUUCAGGAGGUCAGAUAGGGGUGCUGCAAUACUUGAAAAGUUAGGAAUGAACAGACGGUACCACCCCACUAGUCCCAGAAAGGAACGGACCUGUCUUUUUGUUGCUGGCUGCAGACGAUUCUGGAUGGCAGCCACUUUGUCAACCUGAGGACGGAUAAUACCACCCCCUAUGGUGUAACCCAGGUAUUGCACCUCGUCCUUGCACAAAACUGUUUUUUCUGGGUUUAUCACCAAACCAGCAUCUUUUAGACGGUCGAAAACUUCAGCAAGGUGCUUUAAGUGGUCUUCCCAUGAUUGACUAAACACUACCACAUCAUCAAUAUAUGCUCUAGCGUAGCCUUCUGCUCCUUGCAGCACUUUGUUCAUCAGGCGUUGGAAAUUGGCAGCUGCCCCAUAUAAACCAAAUGGCAUUACGGUGAACUGGUAUAGGCCUCCAGGCGCUCGAAAUGCGGUAAGUGGCUUUGACUCUUCUGUCAGUGGUAUCUGCCAAUAACCUUUACAUAAAUCAAUAGUUGUUAAAAAUUUAGCAGGACCCAACUGCUCCAAUAAUUCAUCUACCCUUGGCAUGGGGUAGGCAUCAAAAGCAGAUAUUGCAUUAACUUUUGAAUAGUCUACGCAAAAUCGCAUUUGUCCAUUUUUCUUUGGGACGAGUACCACGGGACUACACCAUUCACUCACCGAUGGUUCAACUAUUCUAAGUUGUUUCAUUUGCUCCAGUUCCUCCUUGAAAACCUCCUGCAAACGUGCCAGGAUGCGGAAAUAUGCAGUUCUCACUGGACCUGGGGAGGUAAGUCUUGUAUUAUGUUGAAUGAGCUCAGUCUUACCAGGCAGAGCUCCAAACAAACCCUCUGGAAUGAUCUGUUGGAUAUCCUGUCUUUGUCUGUCACUCAGGUGUUCCAAUGAGGGCAACAGUACAGCAUCUGGUUUGGAUGGCAAAUACUGUUCCUCUGCCUCAUUCUCCUCCAAGACACUUCGAAUGAGAAACUGGAAUGAAGGGUUAGUAUUCUCAUGCCAAGCCUUUAACAUAUUGAUAUGAAAUAUCUGUUUUGGCUUCCGUGGAUGGUCAGGCAUCUCAAUCUCAUAAGUGACUGGACCUUUCUGUGCUGUCAUCGUAUAAGGCCCCUGCCACUUAGCUAGUAAGCUGCUCUCAGUAGUAGGCAGCAGUAAAAGUACCUUUUGUCCCACAGCGAGGUUACGUUCUCUUGCGGCUUUGUCAUACCACGACUUCUGUUUGGUUUGUGCCUUCUCCAUAUUUUCUCUCACCAUCUGGGAUAGGUAAGCAAAUUUUUCCUGUAAGUUGAGCACAAAUGUUAGCACAUUCUUCGAUUCUGCUCUGUCUUUAUCUCCUUCUAGAGUCUCUCUUAGAACACUGAGUGGACCGCGAACGUAUCGACCAUAUAGCAGUUCAAAUGGGGAGAAUCCUGUUGAUGACUGCGGAACCUCUCGAUAUGCGAAAAGCAGGUUUAUCCUUACCAGAGGAUAGGUGACCUCUUCACCGUGAACACACCUCAGAACUACGCUCUGCCCCGACUCAACCACUUGGCCCUCCAGACACUCUCGUCUCACCAAAGACUGGGUGCUUCCGGUAUCUAUCAGUGCUUUGUGCUGUCGUCCUGCUAUAGUAACCCUCACCAUCUUCUCCCUAUUUACUAAAGGAGUCUUCUUUAUGGGCAGGGGACAAGGUUCAAAACAAAGCUUUGUCUCUCUCUUCUUGGGGCAACUCCUAUGAAUGUGGCCUUUCUGGUUACAACCGUAGCAAAUCACUCCUUCCCUAUAAACUCUUCUCUCAGGUAGGUGGACUACACUAACUAGACCACGACCCGUAUCAACCCGAGACAUACCUUUCCGCUGUUCCAUCGGUCUAGGUUUCAUGCUGACUUUGUCUUCUCUUCACAGAUUCUUUGGACGAUGAGCGGCCAAAAACACCUCUGCAAGGUCUGCAGCUUCCUUGGAGGUUUUAGGUCAAUGUUCCUCCACCCCGGUCCACAGUCUGCCAUCGAACACCUGUAAAAGUUGUUCUAAUACAAUAGUCAACUAUUUGAUCCACAGUGUGUUUAUCAGGUUGUAACCAUUUUGUACAUAGUUCUUUUAGGAGUGCCAGCAGCUCCUUCGGAGACUGUCCAUGUUCCCACUCUACAGAGCAAAAUCUAAUUCUAUAAGUUUCUGUGCUAAUUUCAAAUUUUUCUAGGAUGGCCCCUUUAAGGCUGUCAUACCUCAAAGACUCCUCCGCUGGCAUGGCCAAAAAUGCUGCUCUGGCUCUCCCUGUCAGCAAGGGUACCAAACGGACUGCCCAUUCCGACUUUGGCCAACCACAUACUGUCGCCAUCCUUUCAAAGGUUCUUCUGAGACUUGUGACCGCGACUGCUGUACCAGAUCCACUUGUUCCUGGAGCUGGGUGAAAUGGUGUUGGAGGAUCUUGAAACAAUGUUCCAACCGCCGAUCUUUGUCCUCCUGGACAGCGAUGAACUGACGCAAGAGUGUUUCCACAACUCUGAUGUCACCGGUGCUGGUGGUAUCCUCUGUAACCUGAGCUGUACUGGAGUCAACUCCAUGUCCCCAACCCGGAGUUUCCACUCCAGCCUCUUUCUUUGGAGCCAUACUGUAUCCACAGUCUUUGUCUGUGCUCAAAAAAAAAUGUUCUCUCUCUCUCCAACUUGAUCUAUCCCACCGCUGCCACCAAACUGUGAUAUUCCGUGUAGUGGGAAGUGGCCCAAGCCUACACUCUGGACAUCUGAUAGUUCAUGAACCGAACGGGAUCAAUGGAGAGAAGAGGCACAGACACAAAUUGAAGGGUGAAUGGUGCAAGUUUAUUUACAAGA